rnacentral:rRNA from 1 species
GACGAACGCUGGCGGCGUGCUUAACACAUGCAAGUCGAACGGAAAGGUCCUGCUUUUGUGGGGUGCACGAGUGGCGAACGGGUGAGUAACACGUGAGUAACCUCCCCUUGAAUUUGGGAUAACUCUUGGAAACUGGGGCUAAUACCGCAUAUGAGAUCCUGCUGCAUGGUGUUGGUUGGAAAGUGUCGGCGGUGCGGGAUGGACUCGCGGCUUAUCCGCUUGUUGGUGUGGUAGUGGCUGACGAAGCCUUCGAAGGGUAGUCUGCCUGGGAGGGUGACCGGCCACAUGGGGACUGAGAUAGGGCCCAGACGGCUACGGGAGGCAGCGGUGGGGAGUCUUGCACAAUGGGCGGGAGCCUGAGGCAGCGGCGCCGGGUGCGGAAUGACGGCCUUCGGGUUGUAAACCGCUUUCGCCUGUGACGAAGCGUGAGUGACGGUAAUGGGUAAAAAAGCACCGGCUAACUACGUG